AAUGGUUAAUUCUGAUGUGUAGUUUGAGUAUAAUAAUGUACAAUUGGGAUUGAGAGUUCAGGCAAAUCGGUGCAGGGUUGAAGGAUAUCUGUCCCUGUUUGAAACAAAUGCAGCUGUGCAAUGUUACCCCAUGUAGGACAAGAUAAUAUUUGCUUUACACUUGUUUCAGGUCCUGCCUGAUAAACAGUUGGACACAAAGCUUAAGAGAUGCACAAAUGCAGUCCCAGGCAGUCAGCCACCCAGUGCCAUCCAACCUUGACUUUGAACCAGUGAGAACUCUUCAGCACGAACCUGGGAUACCCAGGCCUGUGUCAAAGUGGAAUCACAUGUUAUAUGGAAUGGAGGGACUGGUUGGGCAGCCGAGAUAAGCAGGGCUAUAGGCGGUGCUUCUUUUCGUGGCCGUCCAAGGCAGGGACCGAACAAAAAGCCCACAGAAUAGCCCAAUUCAUAGCAAAUAAAUGUUUACCAGAUGAUUUGGUUAAAACUGACAGCUCUGGCAAAAUAAUUGAAGUGAGCCAUCUCUGUCACUACACUUCUUGUGUAAACACUGACCAUUUGACUGUCGAGACCCACGAACACAAUAUGGAAAGAAUUCACUGUCGACAACAGGGCUUGUGCACCAAGAGUCAUAAACCUUACUGUUUUAUGUAAGCAUAUACAUUAUGUUGUUAGGUCUUUCUGUGUGUGGCCAGUUUUGGGU